GAUGAAGAACGCAGUGAAAUGCGAUAACUAAUGUGAAUUGCAGAAUUCAGUGAAUCAUCGAGUCUUUGAACGCACAUUGCGCCCCCUGGUAUUCCGGGGGGCAUGCCUGUCCGAGCGUCAUUGCUGCCCUCAAGCACGGCUUGUGUGUUGGGCUCCGUCCCCCCGGGGACGGGCCCGAAAGGCAGCGGCGGCACCGAGUCCGGUCCUCGAGCGUAUGGGGCUUUGUCACCCGCUCUGUAGGCCCGGCCGGCGCCAGCCGACAUCCCAUCAUCCUUUUCAGGUUGACCUCGGAUCAGGUAGGGAUACCCGCUGAACUUAAGCAUAUCAAUAAGCGGAGGA
rnacentral:misc_RNA from 1 species